GUGUCAGCCGCCGCGGUAAUACAGAGGAGGCAAGCGUUGUUCGGAAUCACUGGGCUUAAAGCGCGUGUAGGCGGCGCGGUAAGUGUUCUGUGAAAUCCCACGGCUCACCCGUGGAACUGCAGGGCAUACUGCCGUGCUUGAGGCAGGUAGGGGCCACUGGAACUCUCGGUGGAACGGUGAAAUGUGUAGAUAUCGAGAGGAACGCCCGAGGCGAAAGCGGGUGGCUAGGCCUGUCCUGACGCUGAGACGCGAAAGCGUGGGGAGCAAACGGGAUUAGAAACCCCUGUAGUCC
rnacentral:rRNA from 1 species